UACGAAGACUGCGAGCGUUACUCGGAUUCACUGGGCGUAAAGGGUGCGCAGGCGGUGAUGUAUGUCAGGUGUGAAAUCCCGGGGCUUAACUCCGGAAGUGCGCCUGAAACUGCAUUACUAGAGGCUUGGAGGGGACAGCAGAAUUUCUGGUGUAGCGGUGAAAUGCGUAGAUAUCAGAAGGAAUACCAAUGGCGAAGGCAGCUGUCUGGACAAGAUCUGACGCUCAUGCACGAAAGCGUGGGGAGCAAAAGGGAUUAGAUACCCCUGUAGUCCACGCCCUAAACAUUGCACACUAAGCCUCAGGCAGUCGACCUGAUUGGGGCUCAAGCUAACGCGAUAAGUGUGCCGCCUGAGGACUACGGCCGCAAGGCUAAA
rnacentral:rRNA from 1 species